rnacentral:rRNA from 1 species
UACGAAGGGUGCAAGCGUUACUCGGAAUUACUGGGCGUAAAGCGUGCGUAGGUGGUGACUUAAGUCUGAUGUGAAAGCCCUGGGCUCAACCUGGGAAUGGCAUUGGAAACUGGGUCACUGGAGUGCGGUAGAGGAUGGCGGAAUUCCCGGUGUAGCAGUGAAAUGCGUAGAGAUCGGGAGGAACAUCCGUGGCGAAGGCGGCCAUCUGGACCAGCACUGACACAGAGGCACGAAAGCGUGGGGAGCAAACAGG